rnacentral:rRNA from 1 species
AUUGAACGCUGGCGGCAGGCUUAACCCAUGCAAGUCGAACGAGUGGCGGCCGGGUGAGUAAUGCUUGGGAAUCUAGCUUAUGGAGGGGGAUAACUACGGGAAACUGUAGCUAAUACCGCGUACCAUAGGAUGAGCCCACGUGGGAUUAGGUAGUGGGUGAGGUAAAGGCUCACCAAGCCGACGAUCUCUAGCUGGUCUGAGAGGAUGAUCAGCCACACUGGGACUGAGACACGGCCCAGACGCCUACGGUAGGCAGCAGUGGGGAAUAUUGCACAAUGGGCGCAAUCCUGAUGCAGCCAUGCCGCGUGUAUGAAGAAGGCCUUCGGGUUGUAAAGUACUUUCAGUCGGGAGGCGUUACCGACAGAAGAAGCACCGGCUAACUCCGUGCCAGCAGCCGCGGUAAUUC